CGGGGUGCAGCAGGCGCGAAACCUCUGCAAUAGGCGAAAGCCUGACAGGGUUACUCUGAGUGACUUUCGUUAAGAGAGUCUUUUGGCACCUCUAAAAAGGGUGUAGAAUAAGGGGUGGGCAAGUCUGGUGUCAGCCGCCGCGGUAAUACCAGCACCCCGAGUGGUCGGGACGAUUAUUGGGCCUAAAGCAUCCGUAGCCGGUUCUGCAAGUCCUCCGUUAAAUCCAACUGCUUAACAGAUGGGCCGCGGAGGAUACUACAGAGCUAGGAGGCAGGAGAGGCAAGCGGUACUCAGUGGGUAGGGGUAAAAUCCGUUGAUCCAUUGAAGACCACCAGUGGCGAAGGCGGCUUGCCAGAAUGCGCUCGACGGUGAGGGAUGAAAGCUGGGGGAGCAAACCGGAUUAGAUACCCGGGUAGUCCCAGCCGUAAACGAUGCAGACUCGGUGAUGGGUUGGCUUCGUGCUAACCCAGUGCCGCAGGGAAGCCGUUAAGUCUGCCGCCUGGGUAGUACGGUCGCAAGACUGAAACUUAAAGGAAUUGGCGGGGGAG
rnacentral:rRNA from 1 species